rnacentral:misc_RNA from 1 species
GGAAGUAAAAGUUGUAACAAGGUUUCCGUAGGUGAACCUGCGGAAGGAUCAUUACAGAGUUCAUGCCCUCACGGGUAGAUCUCCCACCCUUGAAUAUUUAUACCUUAGUUGCUUUGGCAGGCCGUGGAAACACCAUGGGCUCCGGCUUAUGCGUGCCUGCCAGAGGAAACAAACUCUGUUUUUAGUGAUGUCUGAGUACUAUAUAAUAGUUAAAACUUUCAACAACGGAUCUCUUGGUUCGG